rnacentral:lncRNA from 1 species
CUUCCACAGAGUCCCACCUUCUGACAGGCCUGGAAAUCCUCCUCUGCCUGGAGUGAUCCUAAUCAUAUUCCUAUUGAAGCUCUUAUGAACAUUGAAGUAAAACCUCUGAGGAGAAUUAAGUUAAACAGAUCUGUGAGGAAGAGGCAGCACUGAGUCAACAUCAAAGAUUGUCUUGUAAAAAGAUCAACUGAAGAAACAAAGCCAGACUUGGAAAAAGAUCAGGGCAAUGUUUCCUCCAUCACUGCAGAGCAGCCCUCAUCCAGCCC